UUACGAUCACAUCACGUUGAAACACCGGUUCAUAUGCGAUCACCGAAGUUAAGCAAUGUUGAGCCUGGUCAGUACCCAGAUGGGUGACCGUUUGGCAAUACUAGGUGCUGUAAG